CCUACGGGAGGCAGCAGUGAGGAAUAUUGGUCAAUGGGCGCGAGCCUGAACCAGCCAAGUCGCGUGAGGGAGGACGGCCCUACGGGUUGUAAACCUCUUUUGCCGGGGAGCAACGGGCGCCACGUGUGGCGUCACUGAGAGUACCUGGAGAAAAAGCAUCGGCUAACUCCGUGCCAGCAGCCGCGGUAAUACGGAGGAUGCGAGCGUUAUCCGGAUUUAUUGGGUUAAAAGGGUGGUAAGGCGGAUCGUUAAGUCAGUGGUCAAAUUGAGGGGUUCAACCCCUUCCCGCCAUUGAAACUGGCAUUCUUGAGUGGAAGAGAGGUAUGCGGAAUGCGUGGUGUAGCGGUGAAAUGCAUAGAUAUCACGCAGAACCCCGAUUGCGAAGGCAGCAUGCCGGCUUCCGACUGACGCUGAAGCUCGAAAGCGUGGGGAUCGAACAGGAUUAGAUACCCGAGUAGUC
rnacentral:rRNA from 1 species